rnacentral:rRNA from 1 species
GUGCGAGUACAUGGGUGACAAACCUACGUGCGCAAUGAAAGUAACAGUGGUUGGAUCCGGUAAAACGGUGCACAAUCCGCCGGCCACAAUCCUUCGGGAGAAAGGUCUGAGUGUGAGCACACAUGUUGGGACCCGAAAGAUGGUGAACUAUGCUUGAAUAGGGUGAAGCCAGAGGAAACUCUGGUGGAGGCUCGCAGCGGUUCUGACGUGCAAAUCGAUCGUCAAAUCUGCGCAUGGGGGCGAAAGACUUAUCGAACCAUCUAGUAGCUGGUUACCGCCGAAGUUUCCCUCAGGAUAGCAGUGUUGAUCUUCAGUUUUAUGAGGUAAAGCGAAUGAUUAGGGAAUCGGGGGCUAAUUUUUGCCUUCAUCCAUUCUCAAACUUUAAAUAUGUAAGAAGCCCUUGUUACUUAAUUGAACGUGGGCAUUCGAAUGUACCAACACUAGUGGGCCAUUUUUGGUAAGCAGAACUGGCGAUGCGGGAUGAACCGAAAGUCGUGUUAAGGUGUUUAACUGUCGGCUCAUGUAGACCCCACAAAGGGUGUUGGUUCAUAUAAACAGCAGGACGGUGGCCAUGGAA